UGAGAGGAGCGAUGUUUGCACAACCACUAUAUGAUGUAAAGGGAGUUGUGUUCUGAAUGUAGAGAAGGAAAAUGUACAUUAAGUUUCAAUCUCAUCACGCAAGUAUCAAUCAAUACUGAUACCAACGUUGGUAUCGAUAUUAUCGAUACUUUUGAUCGAUCCGCCCACCCCUAGUGUAGUUUAGCGUCCAUGCCCUUCGACUCAGAGAGAUGUCUAUUUCAACUAGCCUACUAUUCAAGUACCGUAAAAUGGAUUUUCGUCAAGGAGCCGUACUCUGGUGGAUUCCGUGGUUUCUAUUAGGUCUCUCUGCUGCUGCAGGUCAGGAUGGAGGGAAGACAGGAGCAGUAGGAGGAAACAUCACACUUCCUGCUGCAGUAAACGCAACUGGCUCUUUACAAGUUAGGGACAAGGAUCUUAUUGUGGUGUUUAAAGGAGACAGUGACGUCACUAAUAAAGACUUCAGAGACAGACUCCAGUGGGACAGACAGACUGGACUGUUCACCAUCAGAGAACUCAGGAUAAGUGACACAGGGACGUAUAUAAUGAAAGAUUCAAUAAGGCAAAACAGUUCUAUAUUUCAUCUGACAGUUUACAACCAGGUCUCCAGACCCCAGGUGAGAGCUGCUGCCCCCUGCUGGGUGGAGUGUUCUGUGGAGAACGGGAGAGACGUGAGCCUGUCUUGGUACAGAGGAGAGAGAGAGACUCAACCAGACCAGCAGUCCUGAUCUCUCCAGGAGCCUGUCUCUGCUCCUGGUUUCAGACUACGACACUUCCUACAGCUGUGUGGUGGAGAACCCUGUCAGCAGAGAGUCUAUCAACAUGUCAGAUACAUGCAGAACUAUUGGUGAUCCUGAACAAGAUGUUGGUGAAGGAAGACUGUGGGUUUCUACUGUUGCUGCUGUGUUCUGUUCUGUAAUCAUCGUUGUGGUGGUUCUACUGGUGGUGUAUCUGAAGAGGAAAACACCAGCACACACAGAACAAGGCAGGUAUUUAUCUGUGUGGAACUGUUAGCUGUGAAGCGUGAUCUCCCUCAGUGUCCUGGCUUGUGAUUGGUCCAGUGUUCAGGAGGUAUGUUUGGUACUUUAGAUCUGACAUGCAGUCUUGCUGGGUGAAACAGUGUUUAGUUCCUUCAGGGAAGAUGAGGGAGGAGUCUCUAGAUAGGAGUCAGGAGUCAGUUCCCUACCCCCCUGUGCAUCUCUGCUUUUAAUCUCUACUCACCUGAUGUUGCGAUUGGUCAAGAGGUGUCCAUCUAAAGAGCACCCCUAUCAGAACUUCUCAUUUUCCAAAGGUGAAUGAUGAUUGGUUGAUAUGACCCUUCCUGUUCUGUGUGUGUCAGUCUCCUCUCUCCCUCUGACAUCAGUCUCUGUCCUCAUAGGUCCAGACUACUCUGAAGAGGAAGAUCAGUAUUCAGAAUAUACUACUGUUAUUUACAAGAGUGAACAGAUCCAUGUUAAGCUGCUGAAAGACACAUACACAUGCUGUUGCAAACUUGCAUCAGUUCCAGAAACUUCUUAAAGUUGUAAUUCAAAGUUUACAGAAUGGUAUUUACGACUUAUCCGAUGAUACACAAACAUAGUCUCUACCAUUCCAGUAUCAUUCCAUGUGUGCUUGCAGAACAAUUACCAACAAAGGCACUUAUGCACUUAAACAAUAACUUAUGAGACAAAAUGUGUGUUUGUGUGUUUGUGUCAAGUUUGUGUCUGUGUGCAGUUUGGUCCUCUUGAUUAAAGCUGCAGGAACCCAGGUUCGGGUUGCCUGGCAACAAGCAUCCAUUCAGUAUCUUUAUCAAAUAAAUAUCACUUUUACUCACUGAA